GGAUUUUAAAACGACUCAUUUUAUCCAUGAGGUUCGAAUUUUUGGGGUAGGUUCUCGGAGAGAUCAGCUAAGUAUCCAGUCCACCCCUCCACAAAGUCAAGCUUCGUUUCGGACCUUUCCAAAUACCUAACUCACUCCGAGUGGAGUUAUCAAUGAGAUUCGUAGGAGAUUCGUACUCCCCUAGUGAUCUCAAGGUUAACUCCCACAUUUAAGGUUUAACUGACAUAAAAUAGAGCAAAAUAUACAAUAAUAAAGCAGAUAUUUUCAGGCAGAUAAACAAACAUAAGACAAAUAAACAAAUAAAGAUAAACCUCCCCCAAACCCUAAAUGUGGCAAAUUGCCAACCCUAAAAUGCGCCACAAACCACAAACCACAAACUACGACUCAUAAACCUAAACCCUUCAAGCCUUAGGAGCAUAAUAAUUCACUAAGAGUGUUCUCCCCAACAGAGUCGCCAGCUGUAGCAACCUGCCUAAAAAAUUUCAGCUUUCGGAGAGUCGCCACCUAUUCUGAAGGGCGAAUAGGAAACCCUACGCAGAUAAGAGAUUGAUGUAACACCCCAUAUUUUCUAAUUUUAAUUUAAUUGGAAAUUAAAUUAUUUAUUAGAAUUAUUUUGGUAUUUGGUUGAAUUAUUGUAGGAUUAUGGAUUUAAGGGCCAUUGGGCCGGAUGGUGAGGUUAGUAGUAUGAGGGUGCUAAGUGAGUAAGCCCAUUACUAACCAUUUUAUGUUUUCAUAAAAUAAGGGAAAUAUGGAAAAAAGAGUCAGUACGUGAAAAAUGAAAAGUUGGAGAGAAAAGGAAGAACACGUGAAAGAACAAGAGAAGAGAAGAGGAGCAAGGAGGAGGAAAACCCCAAAGCUCAAGGAGAAUCAAGAAACUAAUUCCAGAUUGAAGUAGCGGCCUAAGCGAUCGGUGAGGAUGACUCGUAGAGUUUAUCCAGUUAUGUUGGGUCAUGUCGGUCAUGCUCUGAUCUUGUAACACUGGGGGACGAUAGUCUUAGAGUUGACUAGUGAUACACUAUUUUGCCAUUAUUGUAUAAUGUACCGUUGAUUUUAUCGGAAAUGUUUUAUAACAUUGUUGAAUGAGUUUCCGCUGUGCUGAACAUGUAUUUUGAUAUUUUGGAUUAUUCUUAAUAAAGCAUGACAAACGACUUGGAGUUUUGUUUAUUUUAUUAAUUGUAACAUCCUUGUUGUAUAAUUACUCUGAUUUUUAUUAUAUUUCCGCUGGGGUUUAGAAGGGUGUUACAAUAGUGGUAUCAGAGCAGGUCGGUCCGUCCGGCCAAUUGUUGAGUCUGUUGAGUUGCACGACAGUUGAAUACUGUCAGCGUAUUAGCCCUUGGUACGCGACAUGUGAGUGGAUCACUGUCGGUACUUGUUUGUUUUGUUGCAGGGGUUGGUUUGAGCGAAGUGGGGGAGAAGCUUUGCUUCUCGGUUAUGUUCACUUGUAAGAUGAUUGAUUCAGUCAGCUGUUGUUGGCAACCGUGCAAGCGUUGUUGGAGUUUGUUGUUUUCUGAAUUGAAGGUGACUUAGAAUUAGGACUCGACUGGUAGCUAAGUUGGAACAUAUGGAAGGAAGAUGAUUAGAGGUCAUUGAUGAUUAUCUGUAGGAGAGGGAAAUUAAGAAGUUGCAAUGUAUCAGCUCUACUGAGGGGCUGCAAAGUUGUCAGUUAAGUAGCCUUGCGUCUCGGAAGAGGUUCAGCUGCAAGUUGCAAAAAGGAUUGCGGUCGUAAUGUUUCAGAAAUUGCACUUCGACAAUGGGAUGUGUUGCUCAAGUUAUAAUAAUGUUUGGAAGUGAAGAGAUAUGAUAAGGGGCUGUUUGGAAUAUGAUCGAGUUGAAGAGAAUGAGUUUUGGAAUGAAAUUUUCGUAAGCAAAACGCAGGAAAAUUGCUGAAUAGCUGCAGAACUUCGAAAAUUCAUAACAGGAGUUCUGGACAUCCGAUUUGAGUUCCGUUUGAAGCGUCGGAAAGCUAAAGAGAUGAACUUUAUUAUAAAAAUGGUUGCAGCAGCUGUAAAUAUUUAAUUGUGACAGGAUGAUGUUGGAAAGAGGUGAAGUUGCGGUUACGCGUGCUCUUAGAACUAGACUUGUUUGUUGGUACGGCACGGGAUGUCAGUGUCAGAGUUGAAUGGAGUGAAGAAAUAAUUAAAAGGUUUGUUGAGAAGAAAUUUUAGGAAUUAAUUGUACCAUUUGAGGAGUUUUUGAAAUAUCAUUUAAGGUGUCGCUGCAUGGCGUCAGUGUUGCAAUUUUGGACAACGAUUGGAAAAUUCAUAUCUUGAGAUUCGAGUGUCUAAUUUAAGUGUCGUUUGGGGCAUUGCGAAGCUGACUUAAUAACCAUGAUAUAUGUUGUUAUUUGAUGUUUAAAACUUGUUUGAAAUGUGUUCCAAUUAUAAAAACAGAGGCGUGGGAAUUUUGGGUUGUUGGGAACCGGUUCCCAGAUAGAGACAACCCGGUUCCCCAUAGUAAAAAUCAGAGACGAGUUAUGGGAAGCAGCCAGGAACCGGUUCUUGUGUGGGAGGAACCGGGUUCUACUGUGUGUUUUUGGAAAAUUGUUUUUACUUUAAAAACCCAUAACUUUUUAUCCUAUGAGGAGAUAUUCUGAAGUCGGUUAGGGAAGCGCAAAACUUAUUGAAUAGGAAGGCCUACUACCGUGAUUGUUUGAAACAAAAUUGAGUAGAAUAUGUUGUUGAGGAAUAAGUUGAUGAUAUGUUUGGUAAUAAAGAUGAUUUGAGUACCGAUGGAUUUUAAUGAGGAGUGAAUUAGUAGAAAGGGUGAAAUAAGUUUUAGUACGGUUGAAGUCGUAUUUAUGAUGCCAAAGCAACAACAUGUAUAGAAGAAGAAUUGUAGAGGAUUUCUUACACCUAUUGGAGUGAGGAAGAAUUUGUUGAGAUUCCGAGUGGAAUGAUACUUGGGUGCAAAAGAUGUCAUGGGAUUUAGAGUGAAACCACGAGUUAUGAAUGUUAUCGCGGUCUUUUGCUAGAUGAGGAUUUUGAUUCAGAACGAGAUAAAUAGAAAGGUACGAGUAUAUUAGUGAUUAUGAAGUUGGAAGUACUUAACAAGCGUGUGACGCUAAGUGACUAUGAAGUGGUUUGUGUAAAAUGUUUGGAUGUUGGUAUCUCACUGACAAGAUCCAAUGAGAGGGAAGUGUGCGAGUUGUAAAGACUCAGAGUGAACUAUUGGACUAUGACAAUGUUAAUGAGUUUGAGUACAAACUCGGAAAAGGACACUAUUAUGUAGUAACGACGGUUUAUGCUUAAAUAUGGUUGUCGGCUAUCUAUUGACAAAUUGAGGACUUGAUCACCCUUAAUCUCUUGUUGAUAGUAGACGGAAUCAUAUAGAUAGGAUGAGCUUGUUUGUUACCUUAAUGGUUUAGGAUAUGAUGGAUACUAAGCCGUGAGAAUAAUCACUCACCAUGUUGUAUGAAUUUAUGAAGAAGUGAAUAGGAAAGAGUGAAAUAUAUUGGACGGUGACUUAAGACGGGUAAUCAGAAUCGCGCAACGAAAGUGUGAUGUGGAUUAGUGUGCGAGUACUACUCGUGGGCAGUGAGGAAUUAAUAAGCCGGGAGCCUACGUAGAGAACAUGAAUUGAUCUAUAUGCUAGAUUUAGAAUCUAGUGGAUGCGAGGAUGUCGUGCUAGAGAAUUAGAACUCUUGUGAAUAAUUGCCGAGAUGAUGAGUAUGUUAUUAUGGAUGUACUUAGUCAACGAGUAUGUAUUAAGCGAAACUAAGGUGAUGAGUUGAUACUAUAUGAUGCUAUAAUAAUUUUGUACUGUUGUAAGGUAUUAUUGUAGAUUUCCAGAUAUAAUGAGGAAUUAUACUCUAUGAAGAACGAAGUUGAUUCAAUCCUUAGAGAAGAGCGAGACUCGGUUUGAGCUAUUUUGUAAGCAAUGGUAUAUUAAGGAUGAUGAGUGUAAUUAUAAUUACUUGUGUGUACUCAUUCUGAUGGUUGAAAUUUUUAAAUAGAGGAAGUAAAUCAGGACUUUGUUUUGAGUGCGAGUAAGUGUUGCUAAAUGGUAGAUGAGUACCAUGUAUGAUAAAGAAGGAUUCUGGAACGAAUGAGUAAAGAGAGUCGAAAUUGGAUAAAACUGAGAAAUCUAAUUGGUAAUGAUGAUUGUAAUGAGUAAUCAAAAUAGUGCAGCAAAAGCAGAAUAUAACUUGUUGGAUAAUUGCUGGUAUGACUUGAGAGGAGUCAGAUGGUUGAAAUUCAAUGGUAUAGGAAUGUUAUUAUCGAGCUCUUGAAGGAAGCAGUUGGUGAAAAGUGUGAGCGUUAUUUCAUCGCUCGGAUGGAAAAGUGUGUCUAAGGUUGGUACGUUCGGUAGAUGAAAUGCUUUACUGCAGUGCUGAUCGGGUGUGGUCAUACCAUGGUUGUGUAAUUAUAUUACUCAGUUAUUGGGCUUAUUGUAUGGAUCACACCCUGACGUUUCAUUGUUGUUAACCUUUUGGAGAUAUAGCAAGUGGUAUACCUUGGGAUGGUCAAAUGCGACGUAAGAGCUGAGAUUGAAUGCAUGAGACAUGCUUAUGUUGGUUAUGUUAGAUGAGUUUUGAGGUUCGACUAAGAAAGUGUUAACUGAGAACAGGAGACUCAGAUGAAGGACUCCUAUUUGGAACUUUUCACUUGAAGUAUGUUUUCGAGGACGAAAACUCUUUUAGUGGGGGAGAGUUGUAACGCCCCAUAUUUUCUAAUUUUAAUUUAAUUGGAAAUUAAAUUAUUUAUUAGAAUUAUUUUGGUAUUUGGUUGAAUUAUUGUAGGAUUAUGGAUUUAAGGGCCAUUGGGCCGGAUGGUGAGGUUAGUAGUAUGAGGGUGCUAAGUGAGUAAGCCCAUUACUAACCAUUUUAUGUUUUCAUAAAAUAAGGGAAAUAUGGAAAAAAGAGUCAGUACGUGAAAAAUGAAAAGUUGGAGAGAAAAGGAAGAACACGUGAAAGAACAAGAGAAGAGAAGAGGAGCAAGGAGGAGGAAAACCCCAAAGCUCAAGGAGAAUCAAGAAACUAAUUCCAGAUUGAAGUAGCGGCCUAAGCGAUCGGUGAGGAUGACUCGUAGAGUUUAUCCAGUUAUGUUGGGUCAUGUCGGUCAUGCUCUGAUCUUGUAACACUGGGGGACGAUAGUCUUAGAGUUGACUAGUGAUACACUAUUUUGCCAUUAUUGUAUAAUGUACCGUUGAUUUUAUCGGAAAUGUUUUAUAACAUUGUUGAAUGAGUUUCCGCUGUGCUGAACAUGUAUUUUGAUAUUUUGGAUUAUUCUUAAUAAAGCAUGACAAACGAC